ensembl:lncRNA
AGAGAGAUUAUAUAAAGGUGCAAAUUUCCAAGGAUGAAUGUCAUUAUAUUUUAUACCUAAAAUGUAGCAAUAAAAUUCAUUUAAAAAAAUGGUACUAUGCUGUUGCACUCAAGAUUAGAGUGUCUCUCAUGGGAUAGGAGGUUCAGCAGCAGGAGGAGAAAGGGUUGUGGGGAGUGGUGGCUGCACAGCUUCACUGCUGAAGUCUGUCCAGAUCUGCUCAGGUGGGUCUGAGUAGAGAAGUAAACCCUAAAGCCCUUGUUUUUAAGGCUUGCUUUUGUCCUAGGAGCAUAACCUAGCUCUCUCUGUAGAUUUAUAACCCGCCCUCCUCUUAGUAAUUUAUAGCACCUCAUUAUUUCCUUUGUUACAGAACACUAUGACAGGUACAACUGAGAUCAGAACUCUUGGUAUGAUGUUGCAUUUCCUAAUCUCUCCUUUCCAGGGGAAGGUGAUAGGUAUCAUUAUGGGGGCCCAAGAAAGGCAUUGUUAGGUUCCUGAGUACUUGGAAGAGCAGCCAACCUGUGGAUCCUAUAGUCAUUAGGACCCUAAUAUCUGGUUUUGGUCAUGAAUUUUCUGAAUGAGAGCAUUUACCGAAUGCUUUCACCUCAAGAUUUGCUAAUCAAAGGCCAAAGAAUGUGUAUCUAUAUACUUUUUUUUUUUUGUUACCAGGGAUCGAACUCUGGACCUUGCGCUUGCGAGACAGUCGAUAGCACCACUGAGCUAAAUCCCCAGCAAAGCCCAAAGAAUGUAACUAAGAUUGCUUUGGCCAGCUCUCAAUUGCUAGAACAUAACUGCCAAAGUGAUCUCCACGAGUUGUGCAACAUUAGAAUUUGCAAUGUUUAUUAUAGUUGAGUGGGAUGAACUUGAGGUGAGUGGGGUGUGCAGGAGGCAUUGUGGAGACCACUUGUGCAGGUGUCAUUGGCUGCAUGUGCACUGGCCUUGAGGAUGACAUUAGAAUGCUGCAGCCCACUUAGGGGGCAGUGUAAAUUUUCUGCAACCUGUGGUAAAAGAAAGGAAGAUGGUUCUAGGUGAGCAUAUCUGGUUUGGUUUGGCCUGCCAUGUGUGAAGUCUUUGGCCCAUAAUAGUCUUAAUUCCAGACACCCCUUCUUCCUUACAGUGAGUAUUCCUUGCUGCUGUACUUGUUACAGUGGUGCCAGAAUUCUUUGGGAUCAUUAAGGAAUAUUUCAAUAUGCCCAGACUAGACAGACCUUGGAAUUCAAGGCAGCUGCCCUCCUGGGGCAUUCAGCUUGUUUGGAGAGAAAAUAAAAGGAGACUGAUGCAGGGUGAAGAAACUGGUCAUUAGGGGCAUUUAGAAUGUUCCGAGCACUGUGGUGGGCACACUACUACAUCAUCUCACUGGGACCUCUAAAAACCUGUUUAUCAUACUCAUUCUACAGGUUCUGAAACUGACGGUGAACAUGUUCUCAAAGUUGCUCAGUUUGCACAUGUGGCACAGGCAGUUUUGGAAAGCAAGACUUACUGUAUUGAAUUCUUGACCUUGCUGCCUCACAUUAAUCUGUGCACAAUUUGGUGAUAGCUCAUUCAUGCCUUUCAGCAAAUGGGUCAUCAGAUAACAUCCCAGAUGAGGGGGCAGAUAGCUUUGGCCUUGUCCAAAGAAGACCUUUUGGAGAUGGAAGGUGGACUCUGGAGAUGAGCUUGAAGACCCUGACAGGAUGGGGCAGGGGAUCUCUGCCAGUCAAGCCCUUAGACAAUCUGUCCAGUGCUUCAGGAGGGCAGAGACCCCUGACUGUGGAGGCAAGAAAGUCUUAGAGAUUAGAGAGGCAGUUGUAAGGAGGUGGAGGAAACAGAGUUCAAUGGGUGAUGAGGAACAGACGGAGUCCAGAGAGGCGAUAGGAGAAGUGGGGAAUGUAGAGAAAAGAGAGAAGAUGGAGGAUAAAAAGGGAAAGGUGAUAGUACUUCUGCAGGUGCUAGUGAUGGCAUCCUCCUUUCCCAGAGAACUUGAGGCAUCACAUCUGUAACUGUCUACAAGCCUGCAAUGAUGGAAUCCCACUGCAAAAGGGUUGAAUGCUAUUUCCGGUGAGAGCUGGAACAGAAGGCUCAGCUGCUGGAGCUCCCAGGCCAGCCCUUACCCAACCAGGCUGAGAGGAGGUGAGCUCCACACUGAUCUGGCUGCUCAGGAUGUGACAGUGCCUGUAUUUGCUCAAAUCCCCUGCACCUGUUGGCUGCUACACCUGGACCUCUCUGAGCUGAGCCAAUACCCAUGGACAGUGACACUUGCUGAAAUCAAGGUCUAUUCUAUUCUCUUCCCUCUGAGAUGGCACUGGAGUGGGGAAGCCGCUCAUCUUCUUAGAGCUGCCUUAUAGCGGGGCCAACACCGAACCAGAGCAAAACAGCUCUUCAGUCUUUCUUUCCUCCUCUUUUAUCUAGGGGACAUGUGGGAAAUAUCUGGAAGGGUAUGCAAAGGUUACUUUGGAGGAAGGGGGAAUCUAGGACAUGAAUGACAAUUAACUACAGUUAAAAGGGAAGAGCCAUGUUUGAACUCUGUGUCCAUCCAUGACCACUCUAGUGGUCACGAAAUUCUGGUAUUUCCCAUGUUUUAGCUUUUCUGGCACAGAACAGAAGAUGAAAACUUCUACCCCAAACUCAUACAGGUCCCCACAACAUUAAGUUACUAACACUGGCAGCCUGCAUUUUCCUUCUUUGUGUCUGGAGCAAUUUCAUUAAAAUAGGCCCAGAAUCUCUGGGCCCUGCUGAAUUAGAAGCUACCCCCACUCUUUUUGAGCUUCUUCUAAUCUCAUAAAGAUUUUUUUUUUUAUUUCUUGAAGGCAUUUGUAUGGUAAUGGAAAAAAUCUGUAAAUGGAGAUAGCUUUAUUUUCUGUGUUUUGUCUUAACAGAUGAUUAUUUAUCUUGUCUGGGCUUGAACACAGAAAAGCAUCAGUCAGGCUCUUGUUGAAGAAAAUCAUCUUUUUGCUGGUGGCAAGAGCCACACUGCAGGAAAUAAUGAGCCCAGCCACAGCUGUUGUUUAGAUCAUGGUAGAGCCAGAAACAUCCUCUCCCAACACUUGUUUUUUUUUUUUUUUUUUUUGCCUGCUCUUUGAGCAGCUCUCUUUGAGGCAUUUACAUCAGUUGAAAUGAACCUUAAGAGCCCUAAGGGAGUAACUCCCCUUUCCUAUCUAACACAGUAAAGAUUGAUCUAUCCUGUAAAUCAGAAGACAGUAUCCAGGGUUCCAAUCUGGCCUCUGUUGCUCUCUGAAGAUGCUAUUGGCCCUUUAGUUUCUGGCAUAGUCAGUUCUGCCUGGAACUCCUACCCCGGGCAUCCUUUUACCAAUUUCCCCCUCAUCAACAGCUGAAUAGAGACAUUAAAUUGCUGUCCAGUUUUCUCUGCCUGUUAUAAAUCAAUCCAGACUCAAGACAAGGAUAGAGUGACAACUUCAAGUAAGACCUUCAGGUGAUCUCUAGUGGGAUUUGUAGUUUCUUUAAGGCCCUCAUGAAAUUCAUGGUGCACUUGUCCUAUGAAGUCUACCUGGCCACCAGCAUCUAGGUUAUUGUGUCCCCAGAUGAGUUCUAUAUACUUGUAGAUGAAUACACACUGUAGUUGCCAUUCUCUUCCAUGGUAUUUUUGUCCAUUUACAUCUCCCACUGACUUGGAAUAUCUUUGGGAGCAGGGCUAAUAUCCCCUUGUUUUUUUUAUUCAGAGCCCCAGGCCCAGUAUCUGGCAAAGACUUUGUGCUCAUUAAGUAUUUUUAGAUAACUUACUGAGCUUUAAGAAAACCCUGAAAGCAUAUCUUUCCUAAUUUCUCCUUUCCCUCAGCCUUAGCUGGAGCUCCCACAUGGAGAAGGCACCUGGACCAUUCACUUUCUCUCCUGGGAGUGGGGUUGCCAUUUGUGAAACUUCUAGGACUGUAGUACUGGCUGCGUGCUGCAGCCCCACAUCUUCACUAAGAAAAGAUAGAUUGGAACAAUUGUCAGUGUGAGUGAUAGGUUGGGGGUAUUUGAUUUUAUAAUUCCAUAAGGAUAAGGAACUUAAGUUAAAAGAGUGGUCAUUUGCAAACCACAGCAGAUUAAGAGAUGGGAUAGACAUAGCUGCAAACCUCUCAGUUGCUAUCUCUCACUUCAUGCAGGAGAAGGACUACGGGUGCCUGCCUUUGGGUUAUGAAGCAAGAAUUCAACCAGCUCAAGCCUUUUUAAUGAGUCUCCCUUGGAUAUCACUGGGAUGUAGAGACAGCGCCUUUCUCAUACAGGCUGGCACUGGGAUUUUCUGAAGUGCCAGCUGUUAGAAGGAAAUGUGAUUUGAAUUCUCCAGUUCAGUAGCUCUGAGGUUUAGGUCACAUAUAAGAAUUAUAAUAUAAUCCCUAGCCAUUGGUAAUCAAGCAACCUGAGUGAAAAGUUAGGAAAGUCACCCCACCUAGCACCAGUAUGAGUUUUCACAAGAGGCUCAAUUUCACCUUUGCUGGGAUGGUAAAAAGCACAUUUUUUCUUUCAGGGACCUGUGAGUUCAUAUUCUGACUGAGCUGCAUACUGCUGUGAGGUCUUUGGCAACUGACACUGCAUCACUGAGCCUAGAGUUCGGCAUCUGUUGGGAAUGAAUAAUGCAAAUUUCUACUUCCGGGUAUUAUUUUGAGGAUUCAAUGAGAUUUCCUGUCAAACAUCCCUGGUGCAGAGUUGGCUCAAUAAAAGGUGUUGAUGGUGAUGGUGAUGAGCUGGCCUCCAGCUGUUCCUAGACCUGGUAGCAGGGCCAGGUGGAAGUCAGCCUCAGGUCUGAGACACAUGGCCUCUUACAAAUUUGUGGUUGCUGUGUCAACACUUCCAGCUCACUUUUCCACAUUUUUGUGGAACAUGUCUAGGGCAAUACUCGAAUGACAUCAAUAUUUUCACUUCCAUGAUGCCAACCUGUCUUCCUCACUCUCAUUAAAGUUAUUAUGUUCAUUUCAUAUGUGAAACAACUAAUGCUUGUAGAGGUCAAAGUCACAUGCAAUGUGAAUGAGGCAGAACUAAGAGUAUCUAGUAUUUUGAGCUGAGUUCUUUGUUCAUAAAGUAAAACUGUAAAAAUAAUUCCCAUUAAAGCAUAGAUAACUGAAGUCCAUUAAAAUACUAAAAUAAUAGAUCCCAGAGAGAUAGUUAAGAACAAAAUGUUUUCUGCCUUUGGGGAACUUUCAGAAUUUUACCCAACCUCUGAAAAUCCAUGAAAGAUUAAUUGCCGAGCCAGGCAGGUGGAAGGGUCAUGGGACUUUGGAGAGAAGGGCAGACCAUGGAAAUUUCUGGCUGGGUCUCUGUAUGGUUUAGUUUGCUGGAGCUAAAUGCUAUGUUUCCUAAAGGUUGGGCAAUAGGCAGCAUGACCAUGGUACUAGGACUAUUUCUGCCAUGGAUGUUCUCUGGUUCUCUGUACUCAGCAUGUCUGCACAUAUCCUGGGAUUUUGACCAUCAUGAGUCAAGGAGGACCAAGAUGAAGAGCCUGUUGAGCCAAUAUACCUGUUCAGAAAUUUCCGUGUGCACAUAGAGGCUGUGCCUCUUCCUGACAUAUCAAAACCCAAGCUCAUACUUGAACUCAUGUACACAUAUAUCCCAGACUUUACUUCCUUCAUCACUUGUGAAGGGACUUUGCACUGUCUUUGCCAUCACCACUGGAUUUCUUCAUUGCUUCUUAUGCCCCCUUUUUUCUUGGUGUCUCCAUUGCUCAGUUCUGCCCAUGGCCCUGAAUUUCACAGGUUAUCUGUGCUCCAGGCUUACUGUGAUUGCUCUUGCCGCCACAUGUGGCUGCUCUUCCACUUUAUCAUCAAAGAUCCCUGUGGGGAAUCCACCUGGUUCAGGUGUUGAAGUCACUUAAGUCCUGACUUUGAAUCAGGCACUGCUGUUCCUCAGCACCAAUCCAUCUCCUGGUAGUUUCAGCUCAUUUGUUAUUUCUUGGUCACAGCAUGGUCUUGACUAUAUUCUCCACUCCCUGCUUAUUAAGAUGUUCCACAAGGAUGCAUAAAAGGUAGUGAUGCAUUUUAGUUUUAAAAUAUGUGCUCAGCUGAUCUAUAAUUCUGCUCCAGGUGAAUUUCAGACACAUUUCUGUUUUUGACUCUUGUUGAUGUUGGGGUCUUGUGCUGUACUAUUAAGCUCCCUUUGCUUAUAAAAUAUUAUUUUCAGUACAUAUCAGGGCCUGCUUCACAGAAAUGUGAGCACUAGGCUGAAGAAAGGGCAAGUUCAACAAGACUAGGGUAAGAGAGAGCACUGAGUUGGCAUCUCAGCCCAGUUACUUACUAGUAGUGCAAACUUGGUCAAAUUAAUUAGCAUCUUUGAAACUUCACUUACUUAAUGAGAGUAUCAAUGUUUUAAUUGAAGAUUGAAUGUAGUACUGUCUGAAAAGGAUUUGGCUCAUACUAAGUGCUUGAUAGCCACAUAUCUCUCUUUCUUGACCCAUAUGAUAAUAAUUUUUGAGUAUUUGGAUAAAAAUGUCAAGCAAUGGAUGACAUCAUGGACUAAGGAUAUCAUUCAUAAGACCCAAGCAGAACAAUAAACUGAGAUUCUGCUUAGACCUUGAGUCUCCAGCUCUCCUGACACAGUAAUUUGGAUAGCAGUAUGUGAGUCAGUUCCUCCAUUGGUGUUUGGAUAAGGAUACUACUAGCUAUUUCUGGGGUGGUGACAGAGUCUUACAGUGGUAUAUAGAAAGCACCUAGCACUGAAUCUAGCACACAGAGGAUGCUCAAUGAAUAUUAAUUCAUUUUCCUUUUAUUCAGAGCUGGCAGGAAGUCAGGCCAACUAGGCAUAUCCUGUAGGUGCAAAGUAAUCUUGAAGCUAUUGGGCUGAACUAUGUUGAAUAGAUUCCUGGGCAGAGGGUGGCUGUGUCCUACAGCUGUGGUGUAAGGUGGCUCCAGUAGAUGUCUCUGUGAUACAGGCACCUGCAGGUCCUUAGGAUGGCCCUAUGGAUUCAGGGAGUAGAAAUGAAGGCUGUGAAAUUUGGGCACAUCAUCUGGCUAGAAAAUGUUUACAAGGAUGAACAGGACCCAAGGAGAACAAGCAUUGGAAUUUGAGUUACAUUAAAGGACAAUGAAUAAAGAAAGAAAAGAGAGAAGGGGUUCUUUUUCAGGAAAAAAGAGUAAAUUCAUAUCUUAAGAGCAGAGUGGAUGGCUGUAAAAGAACACUUUCAGAUAAAGGAAGAGGGUGUACUUAAUCUGGCUCAGGAUCUGGGAGCUUAGAAGAGGUUCAAGUGGACACAGGCGUUGAAUACAAACUCUCUUCAUUCCCUAUUGUCACCUACAUUUUUAAUAGUCUUUUAGUCUUUUUAUGUCACUUGAAAACCAUGGUAUAUGUUUCAAUGCCUUUUCCUGGCUUGUUCACAAAAGAACAAGUGUAGGUAGGCUUGAGUACUUCCUUUAUUUAAGAGAGAAACUCCUUCAUGUGGUGUUAGAAUUUGGAGAAGUUGCAGAGAGUUGCAAGAGCAGCUUGAAGCUUAAAUAGCUCUUGAUGUGUGUACACAGAUGUGUCCCUUGGGUUUUCCAUCCUGUGUGCCCUGCAUUUUCUUGCUGAAGGCAUACACAGCUCUGAGAAAUUGUGGGGCGUGAGACUUAAUUAUGAUAUGUCAACUUGAAUGGAUUAAGAAAUGCCUAGAGGAUCAGUGGAGCAUGGUUCUGGAUAUGUCUAGAUGAUUGACAUGCAGACCAUAAAUGGAGGAGGAAAGACCUGCCCAGCUGUGGGUGGCAUCUACCACCAGGGUUGUAGCCUGGAUGGAACAGAAAAGGAAAGAAGAGGGAAGUCUUUCUUUUUACUUCUUCGGUCUUUGCCAUUGUCUUUGGAUGUUUGUCUUCAGCUCUUUCAAGCUUCCAGCACAGACUCUUCAGACUCCCAAUGCAGAUCCUUAGGUUUUAUGACACAGACUCAUACCAGACUCUGCAGUGAAUCCAGGUCUUUCACCUUUGACUGGAUCAUCCAGUCUCCAGAGCAUCAAAGGCUACUUUGCAUUCUUCCACCUUUGAUUCUGCAGGCAGGUGUCUUAGGUGUACUUAGUAAAUCCUUAAUAUAUGAAAUAUAUAAAAUCUGUUUCUCUAGUGAACCCCAACUGAUAUAUGGGUGAUGCAGUUAGGGUAUUCAGUGGUCAAGACAAUCAUGGGAUGUUUUGGGGUGAGGACCUAGAACUGUAGCUAUGCAGAUGAAAUUGGAUAUUCUGGCUUCAGACAGGAGAGUAUCCUGUUGUUCUUUGUUCCUGGAAUGUGCUGGUCAUGGGUCUGUGAAUGUAGCUUCCAAAGGAGAAGUUCAUCUGACCCUUUAUCACUACCCAGGAGUCAGUGACUCUGGGUGAGCCUAUGUUAGAUGCUCAGAGCUCUGUAGAGCUGGGAGAAAUAUAGGGAAAAGCAGGCAAAUUUCCUGUGCUUAAUGAGACUUCUAUCUCUCUACUUUCUUGAAGUGGUUAGUAAAUGAGUUAGCAGGUAACUAACUGCUAAUUUGGAGAUCAAAGCUUAGGCUAAAUGAACUACAAGAAACAGCCAUGUGCUGGGGGUCCAGGUGAUGUAGAAAAGUUGGAAGAAAUUGAAAGUAAGCAGGGAAAAGAUUAGGCUUUAAAGGUACAAGAAGUGUGGUAUGGGAGGGACAGAGGAGCAGUCUGGCUAGAGCCCCUGAGUGUGGACUGCAGAGUGGAGUUUACACUGGUAGAAGGUAAAUUAAGGCUUCUAAUAACAUUAAAAAUUAUAAAAAACAUUAAAAAUUAAAAAGAAUAUCCAGCUGUCACUGUUUCAGGCAGCACAGUAUCACUGGGGACAUCUAUGUUUUAGAAACUUACUCUGCUUUUUUUCAACCAUGUCCAAACAAGUCCUCACCACACUGGAACUUGAGGUUUCUGAGUUAUUUCCCUCUCCCUGUCUUUGACACAUAUUCUCAACUGAUCUUUGAUUUCAAAUGAUAGCAGGAGGCUAUGACAGAGAAAAGGGUGGAAAAUGAGGGUGGAAAUGAGAUGAUCAAAGUAGGAAUAUUGGUAGGAAGGCUCCAACAGCAAUUUAGGCAUAAGAUGACACAGGCCUGACCAAAGGGAUAGUAAAUGUCUACAUAAAGGUGGGGGAUCUGAACUAAGCACAUCUAUAACCAUAGUAUUCUAUAGACUGAGGUCAGAGGAUCUAAAGUUUGAGCUCAGCUAGGCAAGUUAAUGACUUAGUGAGAUUCUGUCUCACAAAAAGGAGGUGGUGAUACAGCUCAGUGUAAAGGCCCUAGAUUCAAUCCCCAGAACUAGAAAUGAGUGGGGAGGGAAGAGGAGAGGAGAGGAGAGGGAGGAGAGGAGAGGAGAAGAGAGGAGAAAAAGAUGAAGCUCUCUCCAUGGGGUCAGUUGCAGGCUUGGGACCAGCUCGAUGCAGGCGAUGAUGCCUUCAUCUAGAAAAGAUUUCUAGCUUUGAUGCUUGAGUCCAUUGUUGGAUUCCUAAAAGAUAUGAAAACUUAGACAUGUAAUCAACUUCAGAACUGAAAAUUUAGAAUGCUAAGAAAAAAAUGGCUAUAAGAUAAUGGGUAUAAUUUGAACUGUGGUGAUGUUUAAAUAAUGACCAACAUGCAUGUGGAAAUCCAGCAGGCAUUUGAAAAGGUGGACAUGUAUCUGUAGGAGAUGAAGCUUUAUGUUUGGAGAUCUCUAAAGUGUCAGCCACAAGCCUGAGGCAUGGUGGAGACAAAUAGGGAGCAGGCAGAGCACAGGUCAUGGCUUAGUCACAAAGUAAAUGGCUGAAGAUGAAGAACUUGCCCAUUAUCAGAAAAAUCUGAAGACUGAACUCCUUGACUCUAAUUUGGGAUGCUCAUUUCCUGCCAUUCCUGUAUUGGUUUCCUGAAAAUUACCCACUGGGGGGGAUACAAAGACCAUAAAGCAGCCUUCUUGAUACAAAAAGCAGAUUACAGCUACCCCAUGGGAUCACUGUAGGCUCUGAAUGAUUGGAGAUCAUCUAAUAUAUCUGCUUCCAUCUGAUGAAUAGAGAAACUGAGGCCUAGGGUCAAACUUGUACAUUUAAUGAGGGCAGGUAAGAUACUACCCAGCUCAAGAACAUCAGACUUAAUGCUUGUACUUGUCCCCUUGCAAAAACAAUGUGGGUCAUUGUUCAACAGCUCAAAUGCUGGCAUCAAGAAGGCCUAGGUUUGACUCAUAGCUUACCACCUAGUAGGUCUGAGAACUGGACAAAAUUUCCUUGUAAAAUAUAAAUAAUAAGAUUAGCAACAAUGUUAAGUCUCUUCAUAGUUUGCAGGGGGUGACAUAAUCUGGAUGCUGAGCACAUUACCACCACACCAGCACCCAACAAAUUCAUUCAUUCAUGCUUCAACUUAAGAAAAGCUAGUCCCAGGGAGAGAAGGAGUAGAAAGGGUCAGACUGGCCUUGGGGUAUGAAGGUGCUUUCCAGAUUAAACUGAAAAGUAUGUUAUUCCAAGACAACUGGAGGCUGCUUCUCAGGAGAGAGGCAGCCCUGUAUUCAGAGAAGGAGCUAUGGUCAGUCUUGGGAACCAAUAGGAACAUGCAGAGGAAGGAAGCAGCAGAGAGACCACAGGCUGAACAAGUGAGAAGAAUGAAGAGGUCUGAGUGGCUAUCUCAGAACUAGGACUGUGGAAGGCACAUGGCUGCUUAAUCUUCCUGACAGUGGAACUGCUUCAACCAACAAGGUGAGCUCCACUGAGGGAUGGGAGUAAAAGCUACUUGUCACACUUUUCAUGCAGUGCAGAUCUGCAGGCCAAAAUUUCUCCUGGAAAACCGACUUCAUCUCUGGUUCAUACACUUACUUUCCUUUGCUUCCACAUUCCCCAUUCCUGAUGUCCCUUGUAGUUACACUUGCCCAAGGUCUACCUUAUUUGAGUUUCUCUCUGAACUUCCUAAAUCCUGGUGAAAAAUUAAUGAGCAAGAAGUUCUAAAACUGGAGAUGCUGUACUGGCAUGGACAUUUCACCCCUUACAGAAGUGAAUCCACUCAUUUUCUUUUCUCAUAUUAGGUGUUGUUUUAGUCCUUUUUGUGUUGCUAUAACAAAAUGCCUGAGGCUGGGUAAUUUUAAGAGAACCUACAAUAAUUUCUUACAGUUUUGUAGGCUGGAAAAUCCAAAAUCUUGGCAGUAUGAAGAUUUUUCUGCUGCAUCACAACAUGAGAAAAAGGCAAAAGAACUCAUGAGACAGAUAAAAUUUAUUUCCAUGUUAACACCAUUAAUCUAUUCAGGAUGGUAGAGCCCCCGUGAUCUCGUGGGCCUCUUAUAGACUCCUAUCUCCUAAUAUUAUCAUGGUGAAAAUUAAAUUUCAACCUGAGUUUUUAAAGUGGACAUGCAAACCAUUGCAAUCUAAGGCUAAUGGCAUCCACAGCACCAAAGAAUCUCACAGCUUCUUUACAUUUGGCAUGAACAUUAACAUUUACUGUCCUUGGCUGCAGCUAAAGGAUUUUAGAAUUCACCUACUUGUUAAUUUUCCAGGACAUUUAACUGUAUAGGAAACACUAAGGUCAAGGAACUUUCUCAUAGAUAUUUGUGGCAUUAUGUGAAAUUUACUUUGCAAUAAAAAAAAUGAUCUGACACACUGCAGUGGAGUCAGACAAAGGAGGUUAAGGAAUACUCCCUCAUGAAAAAGGAAGGGAUAGACAUUCACGGAGUACAUUAUAGGAGCCCAAUUCAGAAUUAGCUGUAUCACAUUGAUUUUCUGAUGCUUCCUACAACUCUUGGGCUAGAGGAUAAUGUCUCAGUUUUAUAGCCUCUCACCCAUUAAGAGGUAGAGCUAGAAUUUGAAACCAAAUCUGUUAAACCAAGCCUAACCACUAAAUCAAAUUGCCUUGUAUUUAUUUAUUUAUGCACAGAGGCAAUAAAAUCAGAAAAUAUUUUUCAUAGGUACUGUCUCCUGGAGUUAAAAAAUGAUACCCAAACGUAACACAUUUCAGCCCUGUAUUCCUGUCAUCAAACAUUCCUCAAUGACAGCUAGUUGCACCUGUCACCCUCCUACCUUGAGAAGAGUGAAGAUGAGAGUUUCCAUGAAAGAUUUAUAGAUUCACAAGGUGCAAUUAGAGAAGCAGUCAGGGCAGAGUUCAAGCUCUAGUUCUCCAAGUUCUCUGUGCCAAUAAAUCCUCCAGCCCUGCUCUGUAGUCACACUGAUUUGUUUUUAGCAGGAUGGAAAAGUCCACAAAUGGCUUCCAUGUGUCUUUUAUUCCAUGUUUUCUAUCUCACAAGAUUGGGUGCAUUCAGGGUGAUAUGGCUAUAGACUCAUGUUUUCUAUCUGAUAUGAGCCCACACUGUGAUAGGUACUGGGAUGCAGGAGAUGGUCCCUGCCAAGUAGCAAAAAUAUAUAAUUGAGUCAUGAUGGAGCCCUGUGAUGUGUGUCUCAUUGCUGGCCACAUAGGGAGGGAGUCACUGGCUCUGCUUAGGGGAGAAGCUGCUUGGGGGUGGGUGUGUCUGGUUCAGUGACAAGAAACAUAUAUCCAUAGGACUUCUCAGGAAUGACAGGCAGAACCUGAUCUUCCAGGGCUUUGUGUAACAGGUUAGUGAGAAUGUAAUUUAUCUUUUCACUGAGGAGACCCACAAAAGGUCUGGCUUGGUCCCAACCCAUGUUCUCCUGUGUCCUCACAUCCAAUUCUCUCUGUCAGACUGAACUGCACCCCUGUGCUGUGAUGUGGGAAAGAUGGGCACUUCAUGGAAACAGGAGAUUCCCAGAGAGCCUUGCCACUCAGCUUGUCUGACCAGGUGUCCCCAUUGCUACAAUCAAUUUCUUCCAGGUUAUGAAGAUCCUGUUCUGAUCUGCCUUGGUCUGGGAAGAACUCUUGAUUCUUCAGAACUAGAGUUUGGCCCCUAAGCACCAGCCUAGUGCCUGGUCUUAUUAAUGAUCCCAUUCUGGAGAUGAGUAGCAGUCAUCCUGAAUUCUUGGGCUCUGUCUGACUUGAAAACAGUAAGGUACCGCUCUAUAGUACAGUAGGAUAAUUAUAAUUAACAAUUUAGUACAUAUUUCAAAAUGGCUAGAAGAUAAUUUGAAUGUUUUCAACACAAAAAUAGAUGUUCAAGAUGAUGGACGUACUAAUGGCUCUGAUUUUAUCAUUGCAUAUUGUACAGUGGUGUUGAAAUAGCAUACUUUAUCCUAUGAAUAAGUAUGAAUAUCAUUUAUUAAAUGAAACUUUAAAUGAAAGAAAG